rnacentral:rRNA from 1 species
CCUACGUGUGGCAGCAGUGAGGAAUAUUGGUCAAUGGGCGGGAGCCUGAACCAGCCAAGUCGCGUGAGGGAAGAAGGUACUCAGUAUUGUAAACCUCUUUUGUCAGGGGACAAAGGCGUCCACGGGUGGCCGUAAGAGGGUACCUGAAGAAAAAGCAUCGGCUAACUCCGUGCCAGCAGCCGCGGUAAUACGGCGGAUGCGAGCGUUAUCCGGAUCGUUUGGGUUUAAGGGGUGCGCAGGGGGAGUGACAAGUCCGCGGUAAAAUGUCGGGGCGAAACCCCGGCCGGCCUUUGAAACUGGCUGGCUCGAGUUGGCGAGAAGUAUGCGGAAUUCGUGGUGUAGCGGUGAAAUGCAUAGAUAGCACGAAGAACCCCGAUUGCGAAGGCAGCAUACCGGCUCCACACUGACGCUGAGGCACGAAAGCGUGGGUAUCGAACAGGAUUAGAUACCCCUGUAGUC